rnacentral:rRNA from 1 species
AUUGAACGCUGGCGGCAUGCCUCACACAUGCAAGUCGAACGGUAACAGGUCUUCGGAUGCUGACGAGUGGCGAACGGGUGAGUAAUGCAUCGGAACGUGCCCAGUAGUGGGGGAUAGCCCGGCGAAAGCCGGAUUAAUACCGCAUACGACCUGAGGGGGAAAGGGGGGGAUCGCAAGACCUCUCGCUAUUGGAGCGGCCGAUGUCAGAUUAGCUAGUUGGUGGGGUAAAGGCCUACCAAGGCAACGAUCUGUAGUUGGUCUGAGAGGACGACCAGCCACACUGGGACUGAGACACGGCCCAGACUCCUACGGGAGGCAGCAGUGGGGAAUUUUGGACAAUGGGCGUAAGCCUGAUCCAGCAAUGCCGCGUGCAGGAAGAAGGCCUUCGGGUUGUAAACUGCUUUUGUCAGGGAAGAAACCUUCUGGGUUAAUACCUCGGGAGGAUGACGGUACCUGAAGAAUAAGCACCGGCUAACUACGUGCCAGCAGCCGCAGUAA